rnacentral:rRNA from 1 species
CCUACGGGAGGCAGCAGUCGGGAAUCUUGGCAAUGGGCGCAAGCCUGACCCAGCGACGCCGCGUGGAGGACGAAGCCCUUCGGGGUGUAAACUCCUUUUAUCGAGGAAGAUGAUGACGGUACUCGAAGAAUAAGCCCCGGCUAACUACGUGCCAGCAGCCGCGGUAAUACGUAGGGGGCGAGCGUUGCCCGGAUUUACUGGGCGUGAAGAGCGCGUAGGCGGUUUGGCAAGUCUGGUGUGAAAUCUCACGGCUCAACCGGGAGGCUGCACUGGAUACUGCCGAACUGGAGCACGGUAGAGGGGAUCAGAAUUCCUGGUGUAGCGGUGGAAUGCAUUGAUAUCAGGAGGAAUACCAGUGGCGAAGGCGGAUCCCUGGGCCGUUGCUGACGCUGAGGCGCGAAAGCUGGGGGAGCGAAAGGGAUUAGAUACCCCUGUAGUCCCAGCCCUAAACGAUGGGCGCUAGGUGUCGGCGGUUCAUCCGUCGGUGCCGCAGCUAACGCAUUAAGCGCCCCGCCUGGGGAGUACGGCCGCAAGGUUGAAACUCAAAGGAAUUGACGGGG